rnacentral:rRNA from 1 species
GACGAACGCUGGCGGCGUGCUUAACACAUGCAAGUCGAGCGGUAAGGCCUUUCGGGGUACACGAGCGGCGAACGGGUGAGUAACACGUGGGUGAUCUGCCCUGCACUUCGGGAUAAGCCUGGGAAACUGGGUCUAAUACCGGAUAUGACCUCCUAUCGCAUGGUGGGUGGUGGAAAGAUUUAUCGGUGCAGGAUGGGCCCGCGGCCUAUCAGCUUGUUGGUGGGGUAAUGGCCUACCAAGGCGACGACGGGUAGCCGACCUGAGAGGGUGACCGGCCACACUGGGACUGAGACACGGCCCAGACUCCUACGGGAGGCAGCAGUGGGGAAUAUUGCACAAUGGACGAAAGCCUGAUGCAGCGACGCCGCGUGAGGGAUGACGGCCUUCGGGUUGUAAACCUCU